rfam:Camelus ferus unplaced genomic scaffold scaffold1086, whole genome shotgun sequence.
GGAGGGAUAGCUCCGUGGUAGAGCACAUGCUUAGCAUGCAUGAGGUCCUGGGUUCAAUCCUCAGUACCUCUA